rnacentral:ncRNA from 2 species
UGGAUAUCGUUGAGAAGGAAGAGUAGGCAAGUUCAUUGCAUAUCAGAGAGGGUUAUCACCGGCUGAAAGUAACCUAUGACAAAACUUGUUGAAGUGCGCCUUUGAGUCUUUUGUUGAAUGCUACUAAGUAAGUAGGCAAAAGCGGGUACUUUCACGUUAUGAGAGAAGAGUUGGGGUCGUUUGUUGAUCCAAACAGAGUGGAACCGCGUAUAUACGUCUCUGUG